rnacentral:misc_RNA from 1 species
GGAGGAGGAGAAGAGAGAAGGAGAGAAUAGAGUGAAAGGGGAUAUGGAUUCUUUUUCGUCGCCGCCGCCGCAUAGUGGAGCAUCCUCCCAAUUCUCGACUAAUGACAUAAUGGACCAGGUCAAAACUCAGCUUGAACAGGCAUACGCCGAGCAAUUUCUCGAGACGGUGAGGGACAAAUGCUUUGACAAGUGUAUCACCAAACCAGGGAGCAGUCUAAGUGGAAGUGAAGGUAGUUGCAUCUCAAGGUGUGUUGAUCGGUAUAUCGAGGCCACUGGUAUAAUUAGCAAAGCUCUCUUCAGUCAACGCUGAAACUGUAGUUGGGUAGAUCUCAAGGCUUGCUUGCUCAGUAAAUGCUGGAAUGCAUUAAUUAAUCUUUGAUACCCUUUGUCAUUUUCCGUUUUAAAGAAGGUUCUCAAGUAUUUUGUAAAAGAUGUUCUUCAUUAAUACUUUGUUGUUGAUGGACAGCCAAAUUUUUUUUUUAUC